rnacentral:rRNA from 1 species
UACGGAGGGUGCGAGCGUUGUCCGGAAUCACUGGGCGUAAAGGGUGCGUAGGAGGGCAGGUAAGUCAGUGGUGAAAUCUCCGAGCUUAACUUGGAAACUGCCGUUGAUACUAUCUGCCUUGAAUAUUGUGGAGGUGAGCGGAAUAUGUCAUGUAGCGGUGAAAUGCUUAGAUAUGACAUAGAACACCAAUUGCGAAGGCAGCUCGCUACACAUAUAUUGACUCUGAGGCACGAAAGCGUGGGGAUCAAACAGG